rnacentral:rRNA from 1 species
ACGGGGGGUGCGAGCGUUGUCCGGAAUCACGGGGCGUAAAGGGCGCGUAGGUGGUCUGAUAAGGGUGUGGUGAAAGCCCGGGGCUCAACCCCGGGUCGGCCGUGCCGACUGUUAGACUGGAGUGCUGUAGGGGCAGGCGGAAUUCCGGGUGUAGCGGUGGAAUGCGUAGAGAUCCGGAAGAACACCGGUGGCGAAGGCGGCCCGCUGGGCAGGAAGACGUCGCAAGACGUCGGCUGACGCUGAUGCGCGACAGCGUGGGGAGCGAACAGGA